AUGUGGAUCGUCUCUGUUGCUGGAUACCGGGAUGGAACGCCCUCGUGGUGGUUCUUGUCUUUCACGAAUUGGAUCAAACGGUGGCUAAAGUCGAAUUGGUUUCAUAACCUACAAACAAUAUAUACAACUCUUAGCAAUGGAUAUCUUGGUUCCCACAACGAUGAAGAACGCAGCGAAAUGCGAUACGUAAUGCGAAUUGCAGAAUUCAGUGAAUCAUCGAAUCUUUGAACGCAAGUUGCGCUUUCGAGAGCCCUCGGAAGCAUGCCUCUCUGAGUAUCGGUUUCCCAUCUCACACCCGGUGUGGAGAAUGAGGGUCGGGCGCCUCGGCGCCGGUCCCUUCAAAUCAGGCCGGCCUGGUCAAGUCCAUCGGAUUGCUGGUACGAUAGUCCGUCAUGGCGCAAGGAACCACUUGGCAAGAUCUCAGAUGAGG
rnacentral:rRNA from 1 species